rnacentral:lncRNA from 1 species
CAUUGCAAGAUCGGGGCUCUUCAAUGCUCUCUUGGGAAUGCAAGUCAGCACAAUAGCAGAAUCACUCUGCAGAGUGUUGAAAUUGCCACCCUAACUAAGGAAAUCCAAAGGAAAAUAAGGCCUGAAUAAGAACCUGGAAUCCUCCUGCUCUGAGCUGGAUCAAGGACCAAAGGGAAACCUACUGGUUGUGAGUGCUUCUGUUUCACUGACUCUUGAUCACCAGCCACUGGGUCUGCUUCUACCAGCAAUUUAUGGCUCCUGCAGCUUCUCUGAGAACAGGAGCUCACUAAGUUGCCUAGUCUUGGCUCAAACUUGCCAUCUUCCUACUUCAGCCUCCCAGAAUGCUAUGAUUAGAGGUAUGUGCCACCACAAUGUGUUCUCCUUGGC